AGCGUAGGCGGCGUGGUAAGUCAGAUGUGAAAUCCCGGGGCUCAACCCCGGAACUGCAUCCGAUACUGCCGUGCUAGAGGAUUGGAGAGGUAGCUGGAAUUCACGGUGUAGCAGUGAAAUGCGUAGAUAUCGUGAGGAACACUCGUGGCGAAAGCGAGCUACUGGACAACUCCUGACGCUGAGGCUGAAGGCCAGGGUAGCGAAAG
rnacentral:rRNA from 1 species